AUUUGAUGUGAAUAUUUUCAUGUCGACGUCAGAUUGAAUGCUACUAAAUCGCUCAGGAAACUUCAAUUUUAUAAUGUUCUUAUAAUUAAGAAAUUUUAAUGUAGAAUAAAGUAGCGAACUUAACCGAAAAGGGGCACAGCAGGUAAAUCUACAAGGCGUGCAUGUAGGAAGACUUUGCGUAUCUACAAAAUAUUUGCAUUUUAAAACUGAUACAAGAAAAACGAAUUUUGCGCCGUUUUCAAAAGUGCAAAACAAGUUUUCAUUUAAAUUAUUUCACGAAUGCAAAGAUUUAGUUUGUUAAAUGCAAAAAAUAUACGCGUAGGCCUGUCUUAAAAGUGACGGGGCUGUUCUGUGUAGGCUCUUCUUACUUAAGAUCCACACGUGACCCGAAGCAGUCUUGAGUGUCUUCGAAAAGACUACGAUCCUAUGUGCGUGCCAGCCAUGGGUGGGAUUGACCCGUUUAGGACUGGAAUAAACAUGAUAAAAAAAAGCCAGAAAAAUGAUUAAACUCUGAUUGCCCUCAAGACGACAAGCUUAAGUCAUCAGGAAAAUAUUUUGGGCCCUUAAAUCCGAUAAUACUUGAUGCUACCAAUCCUACUAUGCUAUCGUAUUUAGAUCGACAGCUCAAUUCGUGCAUGCGGUGCGGUAUAAGGCGGUUAAAUGCGACCUCAAAUCUAGCACGAGGCAGCGAACUUUCUGUUGUUCGCGACAUUGUCAGGUUAAAGUUUGAGUUUUUCCCGUCGAAAGAAAUCAAGCUUGCGCUUGAGUGGCCCCGAUCAAUUUCCGGUGCGUCUGGCACGGUGAUAAUGAAAGACAAUUAAAAUAUCUUGAAUGAAUUGGAUGGCGCUGCGAUAACAAUCAGGCGCGGAGAAUAGUGGAAAAUAGCAAUAACGUUGUGUGAGAGCUUUAUAUAAAGCACAUUACCGCAUGUGUCGAAGUAUUGAUAUCUCGCAUUCGCUUUGACUCAACAGUGGUCGUGAAUUUUAGAAGCGGUGUGCGACUGUGUGCGUGGAUCUCGUACGUAAUUCAUAGAGUUAAUAUCAUAUCAUCAAGUUGUUGUGAACAAAAUCUCGCCAUGACUGCUGUUGUACACUUGGAUAGCUCGAUAACGUUGACCACGGCCUUGAAGAGGCCUAUAUCUUCGCCGAAGCUAGCAGUGAGUUCCGAAGCGACACAUCUCAGGCGAGAGGAGAGAAAUUUCAACUCAGUUUAUCCAGUGCCACAUUGCGUGCUCCUGACAAAGUUGGAGACGACGAACUCUCCAGGAUUACUGACGGAGUCGGCGCUCGUGAGCGAAGAAACGAUUGCGUUGAUGAUAAAGGAGCUGGGACUCGAAAAUUUACAGGAAUUACCAGAACUGCACCUCGAGUUUUCAGAUUGGCCCGUCGGGUUAUCCAUGGAGAGGCGGUGAUAUGUGGAGUCGGGUGUUUGUCGUCGGCGGUCUGGUGCAUGUGUGGGUGUGGGACAGCCUCGCCCCCCGUGGGUUUUGGUGGAAUGAUGAAUCAAAUUGACUAAUUAUAGCUUGUGAAAUAUUGGGUUUUUCGAUAACUGCACGUGCAGCAAGAUUUAUAAACAUAAGGUCUAUAAGAUGUUCAACAUGCCGUUUACGAGUGCUGGCGUGGCCGAGUUAAUGGCUGUCUCAAGUAAUAAUGUAUGGCAUUGAUUGAUUGAUAGAACCUUCAUUCAGAAAAAGCCUCUUGACCGCUGUGUGGUCGCAAUAUCUACAGACACAAUGGACACGCUCUUAAAUAUCUUUCAGUUAACAAAAAACAUAACAUAUAGUGGGUCAUCAUAACCUAUAUAGUGAGUGGGUCGAUGCUUUUAUACGCUAAAUUUGCUGACCGAUUUUCUCCAAUACCGGCCGCACAAGCCGCAUUCUUUUAUUGAAUUAUGUAUGAAAAUCUUUUCUCGAUUUACAGCUGUUUCUCCAGAAUGCUCCUAGGCACGAUCUAUCAACGUGAUAUUUAGAUAAAGCACUGUGAAUAGAUUGUGUUUUUUUUAUCAGUGGCAUUCAACCAAGCCCCAAAAUCGGUGGAACAAAUUGUAGCGUGUGGACUCGUCCUUCAACCAGUAAAUAAUGUAAAUAUGUUCAAUUCUUAGGGAGACCACGAGUAAUGACAUAAAAGGCGUGCUCUCUGCCAAGUACCAUAACCGCGUGCGUUCUAAGAGGUUGUGAUGACUGUACGUUUAUAUUUCCAGUUGUUAUGAUAAUAUAAAGUUUCCUCUCUGGAAAUUGAGAAUCUCCUAAGUAUUGAAAAUUACACGCAUACUUGGUGAUUAAAAAAAUUCGUUUGUUGUAAUAUUGGAAUGAAAAAAAAAUAAAAGCUUUCUGGCGCCAUCGAUCAAAGCGUUCACAUGGGAA